rnacentral:rRNA from 1 species
GAUGAACGCUGGCGGCGCGCCUAACACAUGCAAGUCGAACGGCACCCACCUCCGGGUGGAAGCGAGUGGCGAACGGCUGAGUAACACGUGGAGAACCUGCCCCCUCCCCCGGGAUAGCCGCCCGAAAGGACGGGUAAUACCGGAUACCCCGGGGUGCCGCAUGGCACCCCGGCUAAAGCCCCGACGGGAGGGGAUGGCUCCGCGGCCCAUCAGGUAGACGGCGGGGUGACGGCCCACCGUGCCGACAACGGGUAGCCGGGUUGAGAGACCGACCGGCCAGAGUGGGACUGAGACACGGCCCAGACUCCUACGGGAGGCAGCAGUGGGGAAUCUUGCGCAAUGGGGGGAACCCUGACGCAGCGACGCCGCGUGCGGGACGGAGGCCUUCGGGUCGUAAACCGCUUUCAGCAGGGAAGAGUCAAGACUGUACCUGCAGAAGAAGCCCCGGCUAACUACGUGCCAGCCGCCGCGAUAA